rnacentral:rRNA from 1 species
GACGAACGCUGGCGGCGUGCUUAUCACAUGCAAGUCGAACGGAAAGGCCCUGCUUUUGUGGGGUGCUCGAGUGGCGAACGGGUGAGUAACACGUGAGUAACCUGCCCUUGACUUUGGGAUAACUUCAGGAAACUGGGGCUAAUACCGGCUAGGAGCUCCUGCUGCAUGGUGGGGGUUGGAAAGUUUCGGCGGUUGGGGAUGGACUCGCGGCUUAUCAGCUUGUUGGUGGGGUAGCGGCUUACCAAGGCUUUGACGGGUAGCCGGCCUGAGAGGGUGACCGGCGACAUUGGGACUGAGAUACGGACCAGAGUCCAACGGGAGGCAGCAGUGGGGAAUAUGGCACAAUGGGCGGAAGCCUAAUGCAGCAACGCCGCGUGCGGGAUGACGGCCUUGGGGUUGUAAACCGCUUUCACCUGUUACGAAGCGUGAGUGACGGUAAUGGGUGAAGAAGCACCGGCUAACUACGUG